UACAGAGGUCCCAAGCGUUGUUCGGAUUCACUGGGCGUAAAGGGGGCGUAGGUGGUUGGGUAAGUUUGAUGUGAAAUCUCCGGGCUUAACCCGGAAACUGCAUUGAAUACUAUCUGGCUAGAGGGUUGGAGGGGGGACUGGAAUACUUGGUGUAGCAGUGAAAUGCGUAGAUAUCAAGUGGAACACCAGUGGCGAAGGCGAGUCCCUGGACAACUCCUGACACUGAGGCACGAAAGCUAGGGGAGCAAACAGG
rnacentral:rRNA from 1 species